rnacentral:rRNA from 1 species
AAGUCGUAACAAGGUUUCCGUAGGUGAACCUGCGGAAGGAUCAUUACCGAGUGCGGGCCCCUCGGGGCCCAACCUCCCACCCGUGUUGCCCGAACCUAUGUUGCCUCGGCGGGCCCCGCGCCCGCCGACGGCCCCCCUGAACGCUGUCUGAAGUUGCAGUCUGAGACCUAUAACGAAAUUAGUUAAAACUUUCAACAACGGAUCUCUUGGUUCCGGCAUCGAUGAAGAACGCAGCGAAAUGCGAUAACUAAUGUGAAUUGCAGAAUUCAGUGAAUCAUCGAGUCUUUGAACGCGCAUUGCGCCCUCUGGUAUUCCGGAGGGCAUGCCUGUCCGAGCGUCAUUGCUGCCCUCAAGCCCGGCUUGUGUGUUGGGCCCCGUCCCCCCCGCCGGGGGGACGGGCCCGAAAGGCAGCGGCGGCACCGCGUCCGGUCCUCGAGCGUAUGGGGCUUCGUCACCCGCUCUAGUAGGCCCGGCCGGCGCCAGCCGACCCCCAACCUUUAAUUAUCUCAGGUUGACCUCGGAUCAGGUAGGGAUACCCGCUGAACUUAA